CACGUAGGGGGCAAGCGUUGUCCGGAUUUAUUGGGCGUAAAGAGCUCGUAGGCGGUUCGGUAAGUUGGGUGUGAAACCUCCAGGCUCAACCUGGAGACGCCACCCGAUACUGCUGUGACUAGAGUCCGGUAGGGGAGCGUGGAAUUCCUGGUGUAGCGGUGAAAUGCGCAGAUAUCAGGAGGAACACCUGUGGUGUAGACAGCUUACUGGACCACUUCUGACGCUGAGACACGAAAGCGUGGGGAGCAAACAGG
rnacentral:rRNA from 1 species